GGCCGCAGUAUAUUAACUGUGCAAAGGUAGCAUAAUCAUUAGUCUUUUAAUUGAAGGCUUGUAUGAAUGGUUGAACGAAAUAUUAACUGUUUCAUAAAAAUUUAUAUUAGAAUUUUAUUUUUUAGUUAAAAAGCUAAAAUUUAUUUAAAAGACGAGAAGACCCUAUAAAUCUUUAUAUUUAAUUUUAUUAUAAAUUUUUAGAUUUUUUUUAUAUAAUAAUUAAUAAUAUUUUAUUGGGGUGAUAUUAAAAUUUGUUAAACUUUUAUUUUAUUAUUACAUUGAUUUAUGAAUAAUUGAUCUUUUAUUAAUGAUUAAAAAAUUAAGUUACUUUAGGGAUAACAGCGUAAUUUUUUUGGAGAGUUCUUAUCAAUAAAAAAGAUUGCGACCUCGAUGUUGGAUU
rnacentral:rRNA from 1 species